rnacentral:tRNA from 1 species
GGGAUGAUAGCUCAGCAGAAGAGCAUUUGCUUUGCAGGCAGAUGGCCCAGGGUUCAAUCUCUGUCAUGUCCA